AUGGGGAUCUUCGCCUGCGUGACUGCGUCAAGCGCAUGGCCGCCGCCGGAGCUGAGCUUCCUAACACUAGUGAACGCCGUGCUUCCUCGAUUCUUGCUGCUGAUGCCGCUGCGUGGCCAAAGUCCCAACUCCGAAAAUAACUUGACGCGGUGGCGACAGGCCGGAUUGCGUUCACGGUGGUCCUCGAAGAUGUUGGUAGCCUUGCGCAGCGCGAAGCUCUGGCAGGCGUUCUACACCUGCUCCUAUCCCUGCACGGCGACGCACACCUCCAAUGGGUCAACAGUCUGUCGCGCCGAUCGCUGCCUCUGA
rnacentral:rRNA from 1 species